AUUGAACGCUGGCGGCAGGCCUAACACAUGCAAGUCGAGCGAGCGGCGGGCGGGUGAUUACUGUAUGGGUACUGCCAGUUAGAGGGGGCUAACUACUGGAAACGCUAGCUAAUACCGCAUACUCUCGGAUAAGCCAUAUUGGAUUAGCUAGUAGGUGAGGUAAUGGCUUACCCAGGCGACGAUCCCUAGCUGGUCUGAGAGGAUGAUCAGCCACACUGGGACUGAGACACGGCCCAGACUCCUACGGAGGCAGCAGUGGGGAAUAUUGCGCAAUGGGCGAAAGCCUGAUGCAGCCAUGCCGCGUGUAUGAAGAAGGCCCUAGGGUUGUAAAGUACUUUCAGUCGAGAAGCGUUACCGAAAGAAGAAGCACCGGCUAACUCCGUGCCAGCAGCCGCGGUAAUUC
rnacentral:rRNA from 1 species